UACAGAGGUCUCAAGCGUUGUUCGGAUUCAUUGGGCGUAAAGAGCUCGUAGGCGGCUGUUCAAGUCGAACGUGAAAACUCGGAGCUCAACUCCGAGCCUGCGUUCGAUACUGGACGGCUAGAGUCUGGUAGGGGGAUCUGGAAUUCCUGGUGUAGCGGUGGAAUGCGCAGAUAUCAGGAGGAACACUGGUGGCGAAGGCGGGAUCCUGGGCCAGUACUGACGCUGAGGAGCGAAAGCGUGGGGAGCAAACAGG
rnacentral:rRNA from 1 species